CGUCCCAGUUCGGACUGUAGUCUGCAACCCGACUACACGAAGCUGGAAUCGCUAGUAAUCGCGAAUCAGCAUGUCGCGGUGAAUACGUUCCCGGGUCUUGUACACACCGCCCGUCACACCAUGGGAGUCGGGAAUGCCCGAAGCCGGUGACCCAACCUUAGGGAGGGAGCCGUCGAAGGCAGGUCUGAUAACUGGGGUGAAGUCGUAACAAGGUAGC
rnacentral:rRNA from 1 species